rnacentral:rRNA from 1 species
AGUUUCUGCCGCAUGGUGGGGGAUUGGAAAGUUUUUCGGUGAAGGAUGGGCUCGCGGCCUAUCAGUUUGUUGGUGAGGUAGUGGCUCACCAAGGCGAUGACGGGUAGCCGGCCUGAGAGGGCGACCGGCCACACUGGGACUGAGACACGGCCCAGACUCCUACGGGAGGCAGCAGUGGGGAAUAUUGCACAAUGGGCGAAAGCCUGAUGCAGCGACGCCGCGUGAGGGAUGACGGCCUUCGGGUUGUAAACCUCUUUCAGCAGGGAAGAAGCGAAAGUGACGGUACCUGCAGAAGAAGCGCCGGCUAACUACGUGC